rnacentral:misc_RNA from 1 species
AAGGAAGUUGGAUCAGGAUGAAGAUCGGAGACCCCUGGAAACAGGCUCUCCCAGUAAAGUCUGUAAAGAAGUUAGGACCUUAAAGAGAGAUGUGGAAUUCACUGAUGCAAUUGCCAAAGCAUUUUCUAGAAUGCAUUUGCAAACUAAUAUGAAGAAUAAUUUUACCAAACGUGGAAUUGAUGGAAGUCCCAGUAUAGGCAAGAAGAAAAACAAAAAAUCCCUGAUUUUUAAUGAACGUUCAUCCUUAGCAUUUUUACAAGAAAAAGUGCCAAAUGAAAUUGCAAACAAAACUGGAGAUGUAGCUAACAGUGUUGUUUCUGAUGGAGUUCUGCUCAAGCUCAUGCAUAAUGAAGUUACAGGCAGAGAGGCAGAAUUUUUACCUUUGUCCCCUCAAAGAAUGGAUAGGAAAUCAAGUUUUAAGAAG